UCGUAAAAAUGAGGGACGAUAAUGAGUUCGUCUUGUCAUAUCAAAGAACAGAAGGUAUAAAGAUGAUGGCGAGAUAUCGUUUCAGUCGUCAUUUCUCCUGAUUGACGAUUCGAUUGUUGCUCGUCCACAC
rnacentral:snoRNA from 1 species